rnacentral:rRNA from 1 species
GACGAACGCUGGCGGCGUGCCUAAUACAUGCAAGUCGAGCGAACUAAGAGGUGCUUGCACCUCUUAGUUAGCGGCGGACGGGUGAGUAACACGUGGGCAACCUGCCUGUAAGACUGGGAUAACAUCGGGAAACCGAUGCUAAUACCGGAUAAUCCUUUUCCUCUCAUGAGGAAAAGCUGAAAGACGGUUUCGGCUGUCACUUACAGAUGGGCCCGCGGCGCAUUAGCUAGUUGGUGAGGUAACGGCUCACCAAGGCGACGAUGCGUAGCCGACCUGAGAGGGUGAUCGGCCACACUGGGACUGAGACACGGCCCAGACUCCUACGGGAGGCAGCAGUAGGGAAUCUUCCGCAAUGGACGAAAGUCUGACGGAGCAACGCCGCGUGAACGAUGAAGGCCUUCGGGUCGUAAAGUUCUGUUGUUAGGGAAGAACAAGUAUCGGAGUAACUGCCGGUACCUUGACGGUACCUAACCAGAAAGCCACGGCUAACUACGUGCCAGCAGCCGCCGUAAGAC